GAUGAACGCUGGCGGCGUGCUUAACACAUGCAAGUCGAACGGAAAGGCCCAAGCUUGCUUGGGUACUCGAGUGGCGAACGGGUGAGUAACACGUGGGUGAUCUGCCCUGCACUUCGGGAUAAGCCUGGGAAACUGGGUCUAAUACCGGAUAGGACGAUGGUUUGGAUGCCAUUGUGGAAAGUUUUUUCGGUGUGGGAUGAGCUCGCGGCCUAUCAGCUUGUUGGUGGGGUAAUGGCCUACCAAGGCGUCGACGGGUAGCCGGCCUGAGAGGGUGUACGGCCACAUUGGGACUGAGAUACGGCCCAGACUCCUACGGGAGGCAGCAGUGGGGAAUAUUGCACAAUGGGCGCAAGCCUGAUGCAGCGACGCCGCGUGGGGGAUGACGGCCUUCGGGUUGUAAACGCCUUUCGCUAGGGACGAAGCGUUUUUGUGACGGUACCUGGAGAAGAAGCACCGGCUAACUACGUG
rnacentral:rRNA from 1 species